rnacentral:sRNA from 1 species
GCAGAACAUUCUGCUGCUCUUAAAGGUACAGGCCUCAGGGUCCCUGCUGUAGACGGGGCGGGGGCAGAGUACGAUGGGUGGGGCGUGGUGGGUCGUAGGGCGCUCGAGAUGGAGCCCCCAGCUUUCUUGAUGGAUCGCGGGGCGCGAGUGCCCUAGACAAGGCGGAGCUGGGACCGGCAAUCGGGCGUUGAUCCUUGUCACCUGUCGCAGACCCUCAUCCCUCCCGUGGGAGCCCCCUUUGGACACUCUAUGACCCUGGACCCUCGGGGGACCUGAACUUGAUGCGAUGGGAGGCUGUGCAGGCUCGCGGCGGCGCUUUUCGGAUUCCGAGGGGGAGGAGACCGUCCCGGAGCCCCGGCUCCCUCUGUUGGACCAUCAGGGCGCGCAUUGGAAGAACGCGGUGGGCUUCUGGCUGCUGGGCCUUUGCAACAACUUCUCUUAUGUGGUGAUGCUGAGUGCUGCCCACGACAUCCUUAGCCACAAGAGGACAUCGGGAAACCAGAGCCAUGUGGACCCAGGCCCAACGCCGAUGCCCCACAACAGCUCAUCACGAUUUGACUGCAACUCUGUCUCUACGGCUGCUGUGCUCCUGGCGGACAUCCUCCCCACACUCGUCAUCAAAUUGUUGGCUCCUCUUGGCCUUCACCUGCUGCCCUACAGCCCCCGGGUUCUCGUCAGUGGGAUUUGUGCUGCUGGAAGCUUCGUCCUGGUUGCCUUUUCUCAUUCUGUGGGGACCAGCCUGUGUGGUGUGGUCUUCGCUAGCAUCUCAUCAGGCCUUGGGGAGGUCACCUUCCUCUCCCUCACUGCCUUCUACCCCAGGGCCGUGAUCUCCUGGUGGUCCUCAGGGACUGGGGGAGCUGGGCUGCUGGGGGCCCUGUCCUACCUGGGCCUCACCCAGGCCGGCCUCUCCCCUCAGCAGACCCUGCUGUCCAUGCUGGGUAUCCCUGCCCUGCUGCUGGCCAGCUAUUUCUUGUUGCUCACAUCUCCUGAGGCCCAGGACCCUGGAGGGGAAGAAGAGGCAGAGAGCGCAGCCCGGCAGCCCCUCAUAAGAACCGAGGCCCCGGAGUCGAAGCCAGGCUCCAGCUCCAGCCUCUCCCUUCGGGAAAGGUGGACAGUGUUCAAGGUUCGGAUGAUGGCUGGGGUAUGUCCCUGUGGGGCUUGCUCACCUCCAGGCCCCCCGCUUAUAUCUUCUGCCUUUUCCAGGGUCUGCUGUGGUACAUUGUUCCCUUGGUCGUAGUUUACUUUGCCGAGUAUUUCAUUAACCAGGGACUUUUUGAACUCCUCUUUUUCCGGAACACUUCCCUGAGUCACGCUCAGCAAUACCGCUGGUAAGAGGAGCGAGGGCAGUGGGCUGGGAGGGCGCCGUGGUGAUGCAGCUGCCCUGCCCAGUAGGCACCGGGGGGAGCGGGAUGGUCCCUGGAGGAGCCUCCUCUCCUACCCUCAACCCUAACCUCAGGUACCAGAUGCUGUACCAGGCUGGCGUCUUUGCCUCCCGCUCUUCUCUCCGCUGCUGUCGCAUCCGUUUCACCUGGGCCCUGGCCCUGCUGCAG